AACGAACGCUGGCGGCGUGCCUAAUACAUGCAAGUCGAACGAGAAAGCCCGGCUUCGGUUGGGUAAGUAAAGUGGCGAACGGGUGAGUAACACGUGGAUAAUCUGCCUAUGCGUCCGGGAUAAUCCUUCGAAAGGAGGUCUAAUACCGGAUGACACCUUCUGACGGCAUCGUCGGAAGUUCAAAGACGGGGCAACCUGUUGCGUAUAGAUGAAUCCGCGCUCCAUUAGCUAGUUGGCGGGUAAAGGCCCACAAGGCUCCGAUGGAUAGCCGGCCUGAGAGGGUGAUCGGCCACACUGGGACUGAGAUACGGCCCAGACUCCUACGGGUGGCAG
rnacentral:rRNA from 1 species